UAUAUUCUAUAUUAUUUUCUCCAUCCUAUUUCACAAGUGCCUAGUUCAGUGAAGAAAAUGUUUCACAAUUUCUACUUGUUUACCCAUAUCUUCUAAAAUAUUUUAUACACUAUGCCGAAUUAUACUUUUUAUGUUGUUCACAAGAUGCAUCUAUUUAAAAAAAUAAAAAUAAAAUAAUUGCACCUCUGUUCUGUACACUUAGCUGUUACUAAUCUUGUUCUGUUUCGUUAUACACAAGUGAGUCAUUUACCACAUGAUACACAUCCUUAUUAUAGGACUGAGGCUGACUACUCUUUCAGUUUAAAUUUGAUGCAACUAAACUGUUGGGUUGCAGCUGGAGUGGAUAACAUGAGACUCUUGAGUAGUGGAGUCUUCUGCAUAAGCUUAAAAAGCCUUAAAAUUUGCAGGAAUUCAAAAUGUGACUAUAAAAUAUGCAUGAAUUAUACAAAAAGUCAACUCUAGUUGUGAGGGUCUCAAGGUAUAUUUGGGAAAUAUUCUAGACUAUUUCCCCAGUAUGAAAAAUAUAUUAAAGGGUUACUAUAGGCACCAUUAUCACUUCAGUGAUUUGAAGUGGUCAUGGUGCCUAGAGUCUGUAUGUGGGUUUUAGCUUUUACAAAACGUAACUGAUUGAGACUAAGCCUUCUGUAGGUGUAACUUCACCUCUGGCAGCUUCAUGAGGUGUCAUCAGCCAACCUGGAACUAAUGUCAAUGCUGUGCACUUUAAAAAGUAAGGUUACCAGAAAUGUAAUUCCCAUUUGUCUCCGUGGAUGUCAUAGCAUGGAUUUCUAGCAACCUGUUG